rnacentral:snRNA from 1 species
AGAGAAUCACUUGAACCCAGGAUGGGGAAGUUGCAGUAAGCCAAGAUUGUGCCACUGUACUCCAGCCUGGGUGACAGAG